UACGUAGGGUGCGAGCGUUAAUCGGAAUUACUGGGCGUAAAGCGUGCGCAGGCGGUUUGUUAAGACAGAUGUGAAAUCCCCGGGCUUAACCUGGGAACUGCAUUUGUGACUGGCAAGCUAGAGUAUGGCAGAGGGGGGUAGAAUUCCACGUGUAGCAGUGAAAUGCGUAGAGAUGUGGAGGAAUACCGAUGGCGAAGGCAGCCCCCUGGGCCAAUACUGACGCUCAUGCACGAAAGCGUGGGGAGCAAACAGGAUUAGAAACCCGGAG
rnacentral:rRNA from 1 species